UGGGGAAUUUUGGACAAUGGGCGCAAGCCUGAUCCAGCAAUGCCGCGUGCAGGAUGAAGGCCUGCGGGUUGUAAACUGCUUUUGUACGGAGCGAAAAGGUCUGCCCUAAUACGGUGGGCUCAUGACGGUACCGUAAGAAUAAGCACCGGCUAACUACGUGCCAGCAGCCGCGGUAAUACGAAAGGGGCUAGCGUUGUUCGGAAUUACUGGGCGUAAAGCGCACGCAGGCGGUUCGGUCAGUCAGAAGUGAAAGCCCCGGGCUUAACCUGGGAACUGCUUUUGUGACUGUAUAGCUAGAGUACGGCAGAGGGGGAUGGAAUUCCGCGUGUAGCAGUGAAAUGCGUAGAUAUGCGGAGGAACACCGAUGGCGAAGGCAAUCCCCUGGGCCUGUACUGACGCUCAUGCACGAAAGCGUGGGGAGCAAACA
rnacentral:rRNA from 1 species